GCCGUAAUGCAGCCGCGCCGUUGGGGCGCGCCGGUCACAAGCCCGGAUAGAUGCAGAGUGCGGC
rnacentral:ribozyme from 2 species